GACCACUCCGGUAGCCUAGUGGGUAGAGCGUCCGCCUCGAAUGCGAGAGGUCGCAGGUUCGAAUCCCUGGCCGAGUCA